UACGUAUGGUGCAAGCGUUAUCCGGAUUUACUGGGUGUAAAGGGAGCGUAGGCGGCGCGUUAAGUCUGAUGUGAAAACCCGAGGCUCAACCACGGGAGUGCAUUGGAAACUGGCGAGCUGGAGUGCCGGAGAGGUAAGCGGAAUUCCUAGUGUAGCGGUGAAAUGCGUAGAUAUUAGGAGGAGCACCAGUGGCGAAGGCGGCUUACUGGACGGCAACUGACGCUGAGGCUCGAAAGCGUGGGGAGCAAACAGG
rnacentral:rRNA from 1 species